CGUAGAAGUUUUUUUGUGCAUUUUGCAAUAUUUGCUUGUCUAACUAGAAAAAAGUUGUAGUUAGGUAACUCUUGCUGAACAUUACAGAUAAUCAGCUUUUGUUUGAAGUGAAUGCGGAGCUCUAUCUAUAUCUUAAUCACUUGUGUCUUCAUGGAAAAAAAAUGCAUCAAUAAAAUGAUAGUGAAUUUGUGACCACAUGUGCUAUAAUCCAAACAGAAACUAUAUCUUAAUCACUCCACUUAAAUAUCAAUUUGUCCAUUGAAUUUACAUGCAAUGAUCAAUGAACACCAUAGUUGCAUGAGUUAGAUCAUGGUCGUUGAUGUUUACUAAUACAUAUUAACUUUCUUGUUGAUUACAUGCCUUGUGCUAUGGUUGGAGAAUCUUUCAUUGGAAAGGAAUUGAUGUGAGAAGCUACAAUGGUUUUUGUGUUGCACACAAGGUCCUGAAUUUUAGUUCUAGGAGUCUUUGGUGGGCUACUUACGGAGCUAUUUCUGGUCUAUUUUUCUAGUCUGCUGCAGUUUCUAGCAACUGCUGCUUCCUGCAAUCCCUGUUUCUGUUCAGCUGUUGCUAUUUCUACAGGCUGCUGUUUUUGUUGGAAACCUUGAAGGGGCAACUGAAGCAAUCGCUAAAUGAUGAUAGUUCACGACAAAGUCAGACUGUUGACAUUGAAACUUGUGACUAUUCGCUUCCUAAAACCUAUUUUGAUAAAGUAUGCAUUUUACAUUCCCAUUGUUGGUGCUGUAAUUUGGGCAUCUUCUUGGGCAGAUAACAUGUUGGAUAUGGACUAGAGAGACGAUCAACUAAAAAGAGAAUCAAGUAUUCAAAAGCAGCUUUAAACCAAUUGUUCAAAUUUGAGUUGUGUUUGCUUUCGUUGUGGAAUCGAGAUCAUUACAAGGAUAUUCAUCAACAUUGAACCUAAAUGUACUUUGAUGUUUACCUGUAAUUGAAAAUGAUCUUUUACAUAUAAAUAUUUGGUUCUUUGGCUUAA